rnacentral:lncRNA from 10 species
GUUUUUGCAAUUCUAAGUGAAUAUGUACAUAUUUGUUACUGAAAAGUUGUAAAUAAUAUAAGGGUUGGGUUUUUUUAUUAGUAAAGUUGUUUAGGAACAUUGAGGUUUCAAUUUAUUCAGUAAAGUGAUGUGAAGAAGCUUGUUUGAACUUUUCUAACUUAUUAGUGAAUAGUUCACUGCUCUGCUUGAAUGUGUACAUGGCCUAGUAUUUUUCCUGCGUAGUUUGUGAUAGGGAAAAUCAUUAGGCUGUAUGUCAUGCCCCACAUUCUGUUGUGAAAUUCAGUCAACAAAUACCAGAGAUGUCCACAGACCUUUGUCUGGGAUUGGAACAGAAGAACGUACCACAUAGGGCUGAAGUGAUAUAUCUGGAUUCCUUCUCUUCAUCUUUUCUUCCGUCCUUGUUUGUCUCAGAGAAAUACAUUUAUGAUAUGACUCCUAUGGUUAAGACUUGUAUCAAGAUAAAUUGAUUUGUAGCAGUCUGACCAGGGAGAUACUAAUUCCACUUAAUCUGCAUAGCUCGAAAUAAGUUACCAUGAAAAAGAAAAGAAUGAAAGACUUUGUACUUGUUUUGUCUCUUACAUUUUUAAAAUCCAAUUCUCCUUAUAUAAGAAAGAAAGCAGUAUUUUAGCCAAAAUCUAUGGAAGGUAGACUUGCUAUAUUUAAAACAAUGUUGUUUUUGUAUAGGUUUUUGAAAAUCUGUGAAAUGGACUGAUUUCUAACGUGCCUUAACAUGACUACUUUUCUAGUAAUGUUUUAGAUGUCAUUCAUUCUGCAUUUUAAAAUAUUAUUCACAUGGCACAAUGUAGUAACAAAUACAGUCAAAUGCCUGGCUAGUAUGUUUUUUGGCAAUUUCUAUAAACUUUUACAAUCUGGAAAAAUCAAGUUGGAAUAACUCAGCAACAAGCAGGGUGUGGAUUUAGGAAAAUAGAGUGGGGUUCUCCAUGCUGCGAAGUAGAAAUCCAGCCCAAAGCAGCAGCCGAUGAUACGUUAUUACCUUGGUUGUGGACAUGGUCUCAUGGAUAUCUAUAUAUAUCAAAAUGUAUGAAGCAGCACACUUUAAACAUCUGAAGUUAAAA